rnacentral:rRNA from 1 species
UCCGUAGGUGGAUCAAUCAGUCAGAGGUGAAAUCCUGCAGCUUAACUGUAGAACUGCCUUUGAUACUGCUGAUCUUGAGUCAUUAUGAAGUGGUUAGAAUGUGUAGUGUAGCGGUGAAAUGCAUAGAUAUUACACAGAAUACCGAUUGCGAAGGCAGAUCACUAAUAAUGUACUGACACUGAGGGACGAAAGCGUGGGGAGCGAACAGGAUUAGAUACCCUGGUAGUCC